rnacentral:rRNA from 1 species
GCCAUGCCGCGUGUGUGAAGAAGGCCUUUUGGUUGUAAAGCACUUUAAGCGAGGAGGAGGCUACUGGUAUUAAUACUACCGGAUAGUGGACGUUACUCGCAGAAUAAGCACCGGCUAACUCUGUGCCAGCAGCCGCGGUAAUACAGAGGGUGCGAGCGUUAAUCGGAUUUACUGGGCGUAAAGCGUGCGUAGGCGGCUUUUUAAGUCGGAUGUGAAAUCCCUGAGCUUAACUUAGGAAUUGCAUUCGAUACUGGGAGGCUAGAGUAUGGGAGAGGAUGGUAGGAUUCCAGGUGUAGCGGUGAAAUGCGUAGAGAUCUGGAGGAAUACCGAUGGCGAAGGCAGCCAUCUGGCCUAAUACUGACGCUGAGGUACGAAAGCAUGGGGAGCAAACAGGAUUAGAUACCCUGGUAGUCCAUGCCGUAAACGAUGUCUACUAGCCGUUGGGGCCUUUGAGGCUUUAGUGGCGCAGCUAACGCGAUAAGUAGACCGCCUGGGGAGUA